rnacentral:hammerhead_ribozyme from 1 species
AUCUAGCUGACGAGUCCCAAAUAGGACGAAGCGGCGCGUAUCCUGGAU